rnacentral:tRNA from 1 species
GUGGGUAUAGCUCAGUGGUAAAGCAUAUGCUUAGCUUGCAUGAGGUUCUGGGUUCAACCCCAAGUACCGCCA